rnacentral:rRNA from 1 species
GUCCACGCCGUAAACGAUGGGUGCUAGGUGUCGCGGGCUUUGACCCCUGCGGUGCCGUAGCUAACGCAUUAAGCACCCCGCCUGGGGAGUACGGCCGCAAGGCUAAAACUCAAAGGAAUUGACGGGGGCCCGCACAAGCGGUGGAGCAUGUGGUUCAAUUCGACGCAACGCGCAGAACCUUACCUGGGCUAGAAAGUGCAGGAGCCUGGUAGAAAUAUCGGGGUGCUCUUCGGAGAACCUGCAGUUAGGUGCUGCAUGGCUGUCGU